rnacentral:rRNA from 1 species
CUCUAUGAAUAUUAAAUGGCUGCAGUAUUUUGACUGUACAAAGGUAGCAUAAUCAUUUGUCUUUUAAAUGAAGACUAGUAUGAAUGGUUGGAUGAGAAUUAUACUUUCUUUAUUUUGAAUUUUAAAAAUUAAUUUUUAAGUCAAAAAGCUUAAAUUUUUUUAAGGGACGAGAAGACCCUAUAAAACUUUAUUUAAUUAAGAAUAGAUUAUAUGAAGUUUAUUAUAUAGAUAUACUUACUUGAAUUUUAUUGGGGUGAUAGAAAAAAUUAUUUAACUUUAUAUUAUAAUUUCAUUUAUAUAUGUUUUGUUGAUCCAAAAUUUUUGAUUAUAAGAUUAAGUUACUUUAGGGAUAACAGCGUUAUUAUUUUAUAGAGAUCUUAUCGAUAAAAUAGUUUGCGACCUCGAUGUUGGAUUAAAAUUAG